CGAGCGGAGGAUGGGAGCUUGCUCCCUGAAGUCAGCGGCGGACGGGUGAGUAACACGUGGGCAACCUGCCUGUAAGACUGGGAUAACUCCGGGAAACCGGGGCUAAUACCGGAUAACUCUUUUCCUCACAUGAGGAAAAGCUGAAAGAUGGUUUCGGCUAUCACUUACAGAUGGGCCCGCGGCGCAUUAGCUAGUUGGUGAGGUAACGGCUCACCAAGGCCACGAUGCGUAGCCGACCUGAGAGGGUGAUCGGCCACACUGGGACUGAGACACGGCCCAGACUCCUACGGGAGGCAGCAGUAGGGAAUCUUCCGCAAUGGACGAAAGUCUGACGGAGCAACGCCGCGUGAGUGAUGAAGGUUUUCGGAUCGUAAAACUCUGUUGUCAGGGAAGAACAAGUACCGGAGUAACUGCCGGUACCUUGACGGUACCUGACCAGAAAGCCACGGCUAACUACGUGCCAGCAGCCGCGGUAAUACGUAGGUGGCAAGCGUUGUCCGGAAUUAUUGGGCGUAAAGCGCGCGCAGGCGGUUCCUUAAGUCUGAUGUGAAAGCCCCCGGCUCAACCGGGGAGGGUCAUUGGAAACUGGGGAACUUGAGUGCAGAAGAGAACAGUGGUAUUCCACGUGUAGCGGUGAAAUGCGUAGAGAUGUGGCAGGAACACCAGUGGCGAUGCACUCUUUGGUCUGUACCUGACGCUGAGGGAGAACCGUGGGGAGCAAAGAUGAUUAGAUACCCUGUACUCCCGCCCGUAACGAUGAUGCUAAGUGUUAAGGGUUACCCAUGUGACUGCUGAGCGAGCGCAUAGCAUCAU
rnacentral:rRNA from 2 species